UUCACUCCAUUAGGAUUGCAUUUCCGUUCGUGGUGGUUUGGUGAGUUGUUGUGUCAAGCGUCGGCUGUGUCUCUACAUCAGCGAUAUUUGGCGGUUCGAUUGGUUCUUCACCUGGCUGGUUCGGCGCGUGCGUCGAGGUUUGGUUUUUGUGAUAAGAAACCAAGAUAAGUUGAGGGAUGAGUCAUACCAAGGAUUGGUUGACACUGUUGGUCAAGGAUCCUCUUCUAGAAAAAACGUUGGGGUCAAGAUCCAUCUUCCUGCCAGUUUUGUUGGAUCGCGUCGUUAUAUGACUCAGGAUUACCAAGAUGCGAUGGCCAUAUGCAGAUGUUAUGGUGCUCCUGACCUUUUUAUAACUUUUACAUGCAAUCCGAAGUGGGAUGAGAUUGCGGACGCUCUUAGAUACGAGCCUGGACAAGUCCCUGCUGACAGAUCUGAUAUUGUUAGCCAACAGAUCUGAUAUUGUUAGCCGGGUUUUCAAGAUGAAGCUUGAUGAGCUCUACGAUGAUAUUAAAGGUGGUUCUGUAUUUGGUCCUGUACGUGCAGGUGAGUAGCCUUUUUUAUCUUUUUUUUUGGUGUUGGGUUGCCUCAUGAACUUAUGUUGAUAUGAUGUUUUUCGGCACUCUAUACCGUGGAGUUUCAGAAGAGGGGGCUGCCUCAUGUACAUAUGCUCGUGUGGUUAGGUGAUAAGCGCCAAGGCACGAACGAUCCUGAUAGAUUCUAUUGUUUGUGCUGAGCUUAUAGAUUUGCGUCCUGGCCUUAUAGAUUCUAUUGUUUGUGCUGAGCUUCCAGAUGUGUCGGAUGAUCCCUUGCUAUAUGCUCUGGUGGACGAGUUUAUGGUGCAUGGUCCUUGUGGAAAUAUGAACAUGGGGUGUCCUUGUAUGAAGGAUGGGAUCUGUUCGAAGAGAUUUCCAAAAAGUUUUAACGAAGCAACUAUUGUUGGUCCGGAUGGUUUUGUUGCGUACAGAAGGCGGGAUGAUGGACGUUUUGUUGCUAAAGGUGUACAUCGUUUAAAUAAUAGAUGGAUUGUCCCUUACAAUCCCAAACUUAUGAAGAAAUAUCAGGCCCAUAUAAAUGUCGAGCGGUGCAACAAGACUCAUCUUGUCAAGUAUCUAUUCAAGUAUGUGCAUAAGGGUAAUGAUCGUGCUAAGAUUAAGCUAUAUGCGGCUCGGGUUGUGGCGGCGCAAGGUGCUUCCGUGGUUGAGGUGGCCUCGAGUGAUCCGUGUUCUGCAAGAUCUUCUUCAGACAUAGCAGAGAUUCCUAUUUCUGAUGGUAUAGACGAAGUUGAAGAGUACAUUUUAGAUAUCUAUCUACGUGCGAAGCCAUAUGGAGGAUAUUUGCAUUUGAUCUUCAUGCUCGUGCGCCUGCGGUUGAGCGUUUGCAGAUUCAUCUCCCGGGUAUGAAUAGAGUGACAUUUUCAGAAGAAGACGACAUAGCUGACGUUGUUGUUAGAAGGAGGUCAAAGAAGACUUCUCUUACGGAAUGGUUUGAAAUGAACAGGAAGAAUCCUCGGUGCCGUGAUCUUA